AUGUGAAUGCUUGAGGGAAAAAUUGAAAUGAACAUAAAUCCUUAGAACUAUAUUUUUGAGAGAGGUAAAAAAUUAUGGUUAUAUGAGUAUUUCCAAAGAUAGCAAUUAAGUUGCAAAAAUCAUAUUGAAAAUGAUGAUAUUCAAACAAGUACUUAACCCUUACAUGUUUUGGUCUCCAUGGCUAUAGUGGCAGAACUUGUACCCCAUUGUUGUAUUGAUGAUGUCAUCUGACGUGUAACAGGCAUUGGAAGAGUUGUCCUUAUGGGUUUAGUGUUUAUUCAGCUCAGUGUGGAGAAAAAAAUGUUUUUUUAGGAAACUGUGCUUAUUUUCUUUCCUCUCACAAUUGGAUAAUAAAACCAAGUUUUACAAUUCAGAGAAGAAUGACUUAUUUCUCGAAAUCUAGAUUCGGAAUACUUCAUCUUCAACUGUGUUUAUACAAAGUAUUUCCUUUAUGUAAUCUGAUAUGCACACUGGAAAAGAAUUAAAUACUGUCAACCAAGAUGGAGAAAAUCAAUGUACAUUUGGAACAACGACAUUUUUGCAGUCAAUGGAAGGACGCCAGUACUUAGACCAUGUUCAACUCAAGCAGAAAUAUUCAGAGGAAGCUGGUAUCAUUAAGGGACUAAGAGAAAUGGGAAAAUUGGAUAUAGUGUGGAAAAGAAAUCUAGGUGAAAUGGCAAUGCUACAGACAAUCCAACUUUUAGGAGAGUCUCCAGGUUAUGAAAAUAUGAGGCUGUCUUUGGAGAUAAUCCCAGAUUCUGUAACUAGAAGAGCCUUUUCACAUUACCUGCAAAACAACAAACUGCAGUGAUAGGAAAAUGAAAUUGAUUUUGAAUAUGUGUGAUACAGAUUCUAUUCAUUGUUAUGGAAGUUCACGAAGGUAUCUUGGAAAGCUGCCUUCAUGUUCAUCUCUCUGCUUUACCUAAACACUACUAUUUUUAAAACCAGGCCUGCAAAGUGUCUCUGAGAUACAGCUAACAGACAAAUUACUACAGAAAACAUAUGACUAUGAUAAUGUUGCAAAUGUCUGUGUAAUACCUUCCAAUGUUAAAAUGAAAAGCU
rnacentral:lncRNA from 1 species